AUUGAACGCUGGCGGCAUGCUUUACACAUGCAAGUCGAACGGCAGCGGGGACUUCGGUCCGCCGGCGAGUGGCGAACGGGUGAGUAAUGCAUCGGAACGUGCCUAUCAGUGGGGGAUAACGCUUCGAAAGGAGUGCUAAUACCGCAUAUUCUCUGAGGAGGAAAGCAGGGGACCUUCGGGCCUUGCGCUGAUAGAGCGGCCGAUGUCGGAUUAGCUAGUUGGUGAGGUAAAGGCUCACCAAGGCGACGAUCCGUAGCGGGUCUGAGAGGAUGAUCCGCCACACUGGGACUGAGACACGGCCCAGACUCCUACGGGAGGCAGCAGUGGGGAAUUUUGGACAAUGGGCGAAAGCCUGAUCCAGCCAUGCCGCGUGAGUGAAGAAGGCCUUCGGGUUGUAAACUGCUUUUGUACGGAACGAAAAGACUCUUUCUAAUAAAGAGGGUCCAUGACGGUACCGUAAGAAUAAGCACCGGCUAACUACGUGCCAGCAGCCGCAGUAA
rnacentral:rRNA from 1 species